GUGCUUGCUUUGGCAGCACAUAUACUAAAAUUGAGAUGAUGCAAAGAAGAUUAUCAUGGCCCCUGCACAAGCAUGACAUGCAAAUUCAUGAGGGAUUCAUGAGUAUU